CACCAAAAGAUAUCCUUUGCCGACUAACCAAAGUUUAGAAGCCAAACAUUCACUUUCGGCGACUAAUGGUUUAGUCACCAAAAGAUAUCCUUUGCCGACUAACCAAAGUUUAGAAGCCAAACAUUUCACUUUCGGCUACCAAAAAUAGUUGAGUUGCCAAUACUAUCGCCGACAGGGUAUAGGCGACGUCCUUGGCGACAAAAGAAUUUAGUCGCUAAUUAGUUUCAGCGGCCAAAAUGAGACUUUUGGUGACCAAUAUUUUGAUCACCAAAACUGUCAUUUCCUGUAGUGUAGGAUUUAAUUAUAAUACAAAAUAAAAUACAGAAAAAUUAUUCUUUAUUAGACCAUUUUGUAAAAUUUUAUGAAAUUAAAGACUAAAAUGCAAUUGACCUAAGGCUUAGAGUUUCUAGUGUGAUUACCAAAAAUUGGGAUCUCUACAAAAUUCCUUUUCUUCAAGCUAUGUAUCUUUAUACACUUACAAUAUAAGAGGGAGUUGCUUUUAUCUAUAGUAGAAUGGCUCUCUUUUUUCUUGCCAUUCCUGCCCUUGUAAUUUUGUGUUGUGUUUUUUGUUUUUCACUUUUGCUGUGGGACAAUUCUGUAAUCUCACUGCUACUCUGUUUUUAUGAGGUGAGCCAGCCACGUCUCCUACUUAUGUACUCUCCAUCUAUUUUCUUUGCUUUUCUACUUUCUCACCAUUUUGUCUCCUCCCUCAACUUACAUCCUCUGCGCCUCUCUCUCUCUUUUAACGCUGAUCGGCUCUCUCUCAACCGUUAACGACGAUCACCACAUUCACGAUGCCGGCAACAACUACAAGCGUAUCUCAAUCACUGCGGAGGCUUAUCUCCAUCUACGACCAGAGAACUUCCGACUCCAAUUUAGGUGGUAAGGCAUCACUAAUGAAUUAGUGUACUUAAAGCAUGCGGCUUGGGCACUUCCAUUGGCGUCCACCUUCUAUCCUGUUGAAGAUUUUUAAAGGUAUAUUUGCAUAUGUAUGUAAUGCAUCUCCAGAGGCAACGUAUGUGUAUCGGACAUGGACAUGCGUCGGACACACGGUGGACAAGUAUUCGACACUCUACCGAAGGUGUCCCUUUUUGUUUUUGAAUUUUUCCAGUCGGACAUGCUUGGGGCACUCUCUUGGACAUGUUAUGGAUAGAGAGGGAUAGAAACCCUAAUCUGUUAAAGUUAGAGAGAGAGAGACAGAGAGAGAGAGAGGGAAAGAAAGGGUGAAGAAGAACCUGUUGAAAUGAAGCCCUAGAUUAGGUAUGUUCUUAGUUUCUUCAAAUCUCUUCUUCGAUCUUCUUCUUUUCUUCAUUUUUCUUGUUCUUUCUUCGGUUCUUCUGUUCUUCUGUUCGUCUAUGUUCAUCUCUCUCUCUCUCUCUCUCUCGCUAGUGUUCUGACUCUCUCUCCUAGCGUUUGACUCACUCGAUAUCUCUGUUCUAUUCUAUUAAUUUUUUUUUCCUAUGGUAAAUUACAAAUAUACACCCUGAGAUUUGCUUAAAGUAAAGAUUAUAAAUACCCCAUUGUUAGAA